rnacentral:tRNA from 1 species
GGCACCAUCGUCUAGUGGUUUAGGAUACAGCUUUUGUAAUGCUGUGACGACGGUUCGAUUCCGUCUGGUGCCU